UACGAAGGGGGCUAGCGUUGCUCGGAAUCACUGGGCGUAAAGGGUGCGUAGGCGGGUCUUUAAGUCAGGGGUGAAAUCCUGGAGCUCAACUCCAGAACUGCCUUCGAUACUGGCGAUCUUGAGUCCGGAAGAGGUGAGUGGAACUCCUAGUGUAGAGGUGGAAUUCGUAGAUAUUAGGAAGAACACCAGUGGGCGAAAGGCGGCUCGCUGGUC
rnacentral:rRNA from 1 species